UCAUCGGUCAGACUCGCGCGGCCAGGU
rnacentral:sRNA from 1 species